rnacentral:rRNA from 1 species
UACGUAGGUCCCGAGCGUUGUCCGGAAUUACUGGGCGUAAAGGGAGCGCAGGCGGCGCGCCAAGUCUGAUGUGAAACCCCGGGGCUCAACCCCGGGCAUGCAUUGGAAACUGGCGGGCUGGAGUGCCGGAGAGGUAAGCGGAAUUCCUAGUGUAGCGGUGAAAUGCGUAGAUAUUAGGAGGAACACCAGUGGCGAAGGCGGCUUACUGGACGGCAACUGACGCUGAGGCUCGAAAGCGUGGGGAGCAAACAGG